rnacentral:rRNA from 1 species
CUACGGGUGGCUCCAGUGAGGAAUAUUGCACAAUGGGGGGAACCCUGAUGCAGCAACGCCGCGUGGAGGAUGACGCAUUUCGGUGUGUAAACUCCUUUUAUAUGUCAAGAAAAUGACGGUAGCAUAUGAAUAAGCACCGGCUAACUCCGUGCCAGCAGCCGCGGUAAUACGCAGGGUGCAAGCGUUACUCGGAAUCACUGGGCGUAAAGGACGCGUAGGCGGGUUGGAAAGUCAGGUGUGAAAUCCUACAGCUUAACUGUAGAACUGCACUUGAAACUUCUAUCUAGAGUAUGGGAGGGGGAGAUGGAAUUAGUGGUGUUGGGGUAAAAUCCGUAGAUAUCACUAGGAAUACCUAAAGCGAAGGCGAUCUCCUGGAACAUUACUGACGCUAAGGCGUGAAAGCGUGGGGAGCAAACAGGAUUAGAUACCCCAGUAGUC